AAUUCUUAGAUCCAGAAGACCCCUGGGCAGGUCUACUCUCGGCGAUCCUUUCGUGCUAGGCUUCUGGUUUUAAUAAACCAAAAUAAAAGUUUGCUUUGAGAUUAAAGAAACAACGUUUUGGUCUUUCCGCCCUGAAGCGUGACUUACGCAGCCUUUUAUACCUGCAGGGAAGUAUCAAUUGUGAUUUUCCAAAUCGAUACCGGGGCUUCCUCGGACGAAGUGCUGCAGGUAAUGGAGUCAAGGCAUCAAGGAAAUAGCAGCAGGGACCAACAGACUCCGACCGUUCCGGACAGUCAGGCCCGCUUCGCGAAGGAGACUUGCGGCGGGUGGAAUCACGGUUGCGGAAGAGCCGAGAGCGCGGGUGGGGGAACCAGGCUGGUUCCACCUUAAGAGACCGCGCGGCACGGCGGCUGCGGAGGCGCCAGGCACCUGCAGGAGGCGCUGCUGCCCCGCGGUUCCGCCCGCGCCGCGGCGCGCCGCCAGCCUCGCUGCUCGCGGGCCUCGGUCCCCGGAGGGGGUGGGGACGCUGGGGGAGGAAGGGAGCGAGUGCAUCCGUUAGAUUUGUGGCGACCACACCGAAGGAGGAGGGCGGCAGGCAGUGGCGGUGGCUGCUGCGGCUACAUGCAGGCAUCCAGCAGUGUGUCCCCAGCAGCAGACUCGGUAUCCCCAGUGUGAAGAGCCCAGGCCUUGCCCAUUAGGGCUGUGACUGAAAACAACCCCCCACCCCCUCUCCAAGCAGGCUCCGCAGUGACUACCCCAAAUCCCUAAGCAGAUUCCUGGACUGAGAGACACAGGGUUCAUAGCAUGACUGUCAAAGAGCUAGAUUUGGUAGGAAAAAAAAGAACAGAAAAUCCCACCCAGUGCUGAAAUCGCUAACGAAAAAUCACGUGUGGUAGUGGGUAUUUGUGCAAAUAUACAGGACAGUUGCCUACUUUCGGCCAAGGAAUGACAUUUCAAAAAUGUUUCUCCCCCCCCCCCCCAUAGCACCAAAGGCUGUUUUACGUCCCCGCUAUUGUGAAUCAACCUUCUGUAAACCAUAUUGUGCAUUUUCCCCUGGAUUUUAAUGAAAGAAGAACUGUGCAAAAGCAACUGCUUUGUCCCAGAGCUGAAACAAAGACUAAUACACAGCAAAGGGGCAGCCCUUCCAAGAUGUACUCCUCUCCGACUUGGGAGGAAGGCUCCUAGAGUGACCAGCCAUAAUUGUGGUUGAUACUUAAUCCUCCUGAGUACAAAGGCCCAUCUUUUCACUAUGCAGAAGCACCACUGAGAUAUGACUAACCUUCAGAGUUAUAUCCCAAACUGAGUGUCCAGGCUUAGACUUGGAUUGUCUAGGCCUCUUCUAACCCGAACAAAAAGGAUCUGAAGAAAAUCACAUUUUUUCCCCCUCCUUCGCAACAAAGCAUUCCUAAUCAC